AUUAAUUUGGCAGAUUAGUGCAAUAAAUUUAGGAUUUAUUUAUAUUGAUUUAAAAACAAUAAUUAAUA
rnacentral:tRNA from 1 species